rnacentral:rRNA from 1 species
AUACGGAGGGUCCAAGCGUUAUCCGGAAUUAUUGGGUUUAAAGGGUCCGUAGGCGGGAAAUUAAGUCAGUGGUGAAAUCCUACAGCUCAACUGUGGAACUGCCAUUGAUACUGGUUUUCUUGAAUGUAGAUGAAGUGGGCGGAAUGUGUCAUGUAGCGGUGAAAUGCUUGGAGAUGACACAGAACACCGAUUGCGAAGGCAGCUCACUAACCUAUUAUUGACGCUGAGGGACGAAAGCGUGGGUAGCGAACAGGAUUAGAUACCCUAGUAGUCC